rnacentral:lncRNA from 13 species
GCCAAACUCUUGCUCAAAAGCAGCAUGCAUCCACGUGGAAAGAACGAGGACUGUGAGUGCUGCUCCUACCACUGUUGAGGUCCCAACGUGUCUCAGGCUUGUUGACAUUUCAGCUGCCGUGCAACUCGCCAGCUUCUGCUGCCUUCGAGUGUUGCUGUCACUGCUGAGGAAGCCUGCACCAGCCCAGAGUCGUGCUGGCCUCCUCUCUGCCUAGCAAGGUGAUGCCUGGUCCGCAGUCCAACACUCAGGCACAAACCAUCUGGAGAAAGAGCUGGAAAGUAGCCCAUCAGGUCUGCUGUUGCAUUUAAUUUAGCCAGUUUUUAUAUGAUGUGAAUUGCAUCCGAACCCCCGAUCACUCUCAAGACACUGACUUUGAGCUCGGCACUGCAGUGUAUUGUCAUUUAAAUACUGAUGAAAGAUAUAUGUUCAUUUGUGUUUAUGACUUAAAUUGCUCAUAUCAUUUAAUAGAAAAAAAAUAAAUUCAAUGAGAACAAAUUCA